rnacentral:rRNA from 1 species
UACGAAGGGGGCUAGCGUUGUUCGGAAUUACUGGGCGUAAAGCGCACGUAGGCGGAUAUUUAAGUCAGGGGUGAAAUCCCGGGGCUCAACCUCGGAACUGCCUUUGAUACUGCAAAUCUCGAGUCCGGAAGAGGUGAGUGGAAUUCCUAGUGUAGAGGUGAAAUUCGUAGAUAUUAGGAAGAAACACCAGUGGCGAAGGCGGCUCACUGGUCCGGUACUGACGCUGAGGUGCGAAAGCGUGGGGAGCAAACAGGG